CGUUAAUGGUGUUCUGGUUUGUUACAAAAUUAUCUGAAGCAGUCAUUGUUAUAAUUUUAUUAUUUGUACCUCUUGAGAUUUCCUUGUUGGUUUUUCUCUCUGAUAUUUUUUUCGGACCAUUCUGCCCAAGGGCUAACUUCUUCAAAAGGUAAUAAUGAUGUCUAACAAAAUGACUGGUUUAGUGAAAUGGUUUAACCCUGAAAAAGGUUUUGGUUUCAUCACGCCGAAAGAUGGUAGCAAAGAUGUGUUUGUCCAUUUCUCAGCUAUUCAGAGCAACGAUUUCAAAACGUUAACUGAGAAUCAGCAAGUCGAAUUUGGUAUUGAGAACGGACCUAAAGGCCCCGCGGCUGUUCAUGUAGUGGCACUUUGAGGUAGAAAAUAUUACAAACCAUAUUCA
rnacentral:sRNA from 1 species